rnacentral:tRNA from 1 species
GGGCGGUUAGCUCAGCUGGUUAGAGUACUACCUUGACAUGGUAGGGGUCACAGGUUCGAAUCCUGUACCGCCCA